rnacentral:misc_RNA from 1 species
AAGUCGUAACAAGGUAACCGUAGGUGAACCUGCGGUUGGAUCAUUAGUGGUUUUUACGUAGCGCUGUUGUAGUGUUUCUGGGGGGUUUUCUUUGGUUUUGUGUGUUUGUCUGUUUUUGUCUUUUUGUUUGUCUGUUUUUGUGCAUUGCCUUGUGCUGCCUUGUGCGGUGUCUUGUGCGGUGCCGUGGCAGUACAAACGGAUCGACGGCAACACUCGGACCAGACCCAAGAACCCUUGCAGACAAUAGACGUCUUUGCUUGCUUUGAUGAAACCAAAUCAAAAACAACUUUUGACAACGGAUCUCUUGGCUCUC